rnacentral:rRNA from 1 species
GACGAACGCUGGCGGCGUGCCUAAUACAUGCAAGUCGAGCGAAUCAAGAGGAGCUUGCUCCUCUUGGUUAGCGGCGGACGGGUGAGUAACACGUGGGCAACCUGCCUGUAAGACUGGGAUAACUUCGGGAAACCGGAGCUAAUACCGGAUAAUUCUUUCUCUCUCAUGAGGGAAAGCUGAAAGACGGUUUCGGCUGUCACUUACAGAUGGGCCCGCGGCGCAUUAGCUAGUUGGUGAGGUAACGGCUCACCAAGGCGACGAUGCGUAGCCGACCUGAGAGGGUGAUCGGCCACACUGGGACUGAGACACGGCCCAGACUCCUACGGGAGGCAGCAGUAGGGAAUCUUCCGCAAUGGACGAAAGUCUGACGGAGCAACGCCGCGUGAGCGAUGAAGGCCUUCGGGUCGUAAAGCUCUGUUGUUAGGGAAGAACAAGUAUCGGAGUAACUGCCGGUACCUUGACGGUACCUAACCAGAAAGCCACGGCUAACUACGUGCCAGCCGCCGCAGUAACAC